rnacentral:rRNA from 1 species
CGGCAGGCUUAACACAUGCAAGUCGAGGGGUAUAGUUCUUCGGAUUAGAGACCGGCGCACGGGUGCGUAACGCGUAUGCAAUCUACCUUUUACAGAGGGAUAGCCCAGAGAAAUUUGGAUUAAUACCUCAUAGUAUAGUACAACCGCAUGGUUGAAUUAUUAAAGUCACAACGGUAAAAGAUGAGCAUGCGUCCCAUUAGCUAGUUGGUAAGGUAACGGCUUACCAAGGCGACGAUGGGUAGGGGUCCUGAGAGGGAGAUCCCCCACACUGGUACUGAGACACGGACCAGACUCCUACGGGAGGCAGCAGUGAGGAAUAUUGGUCAAUGGGCGCAAGCCUGAACCAGCCAUGCCGCGUGCAGGAUGACGGUCCUAUGGAUUGUAAACUGCUUUUGUACAGGAAGAAACACUCGGACGUGUCCGGGCUUGACGGUACUGUAAGAAUAAGGAUCGGCUAACUCCGUGCCAGCAGCCGCGGUAAUACGGAGGAUCCAAGCGUUAUCCGGAAUCAUUGGGUUUAAAGGGUCCGUAGGCGGUUUAGUAAGUCAGUGGUGAAAGCCCAUCGCUCAACGGUGGAACGGCCAUUGAUACUGCUAGACUUGAAUUAUUAGGAAGUAACUAGAAUAUGUAGUGUAGCGGUGAAAUGCUUAGAGAUUACAUGGAAUACCAAUUGCGAAGGCAGGUUACUACUAAUGGAUUGACGCUGAUGGACGAAAGCGUGGGUAGCGAACAGGAUUAGAUACCCUGGUAGUCCACGCCGUAAACGAUGGAUACUAGCUGUUGGGAGCGAUCUCAGUGGCUAAGCGAAAGUGAUAAGUAUCCCACCUGGGG